GCCACUAGCCAUAUCACCCUGCAUCUCUCAACUGGCUACCCACUGAAGCUCAGCAGAGUUGAGUCUAGUCAGUACCUGGGUGGGAGACCUCCUGGGAAGCUACAGUUGCUGCUGGAA
rnacentral:rRNA from 1 species